rnacentral:rRNA from 1 species
UACGGGGGGGGCAAGCGUUGUCCGGAAUUAUUGGGCGUAAAGAGCUCGUAGGCGGUCCGUCACGUCCGCUGUGAAAACCCAGGGCUCAACCCUGGGCUUGCAGUGGAUACGGGCAGACUAGAGGUAGGUAGGGGAGAAUGGAAUUCCCGGUGUAGCGGUGAAAUGCGCAGAUAUCGGGAGGAACACCGGUGGCGAAGGCGGUUCUCUGGGCCUUACCUGACGCUGAGGAGCGAAAGCAUGGGGAGCGAACAGG